rnacentral:rRNA from 1 species
AUUGAACGCUGGCGGCAGGCCUAACACAUGCAAGUCGAACGAGUGGCGGACGGGUGAGUAAUGUCUGGGAAACUGCCUGAUGGAGGGUGAUAACUACUGGACACGGUCGCUAAUACCGCAUACCAUCAGAUGUGCCCAGAUGGGAUUAGCUUGUUGGGGGGGUAACGGCUCACCAAGGCGACGAUCCCUAGAUGGUCUGAGAGGAUGACCAGCCACACGGGAACUGGGACACGGUCCAGACUCCUACGGGAGGCAGCAGUGGGGAAUAUUGCACAAUGGGCGCAAGCCUGAUGCAGCAAGGCCGCGUGGAUUAAGAAGGCCUGCGGGUUGUAAAGUACUUUCAGCGGGGAGGCGUUACCCGCAGAAGAAGCACCGGCUAACUCCGUGCCAGCCGCCGCGGUAAUAC